rnacentral:rRNA from 1 species
GAUGAACGCUGGCGGCGUGCCUAAUACAUGCAAGUCGAGCGAACAGACGAGGAGCUUGCUCCUCUGACGUUAGCGGCGGACGGGUGAGUAACACGUGGAUAACCUACCUAUAAGACUGGGAUAAAUUCGGGAAACCGGAGCUAAUACCGGAUAAUAUAUUGAACCGCAUGGUUCAAUAGUGAAAGACGGUUUUGCUGUCACUUAUAGAUGGAUCCGCGCCGCAUUAGCUAGUUGGUAAGGUAACGGCUUACCAAGGGAACGAUGCGUAGCCGACCUGAAAGGGUGAUCAGCCACACUGGAACUGAGACACGGUCCAGACUCCUACGGGAGGCAGCAGUAGGGAAUCUUCCGCAAUGGGCGAAAGCCUGACGGAGCAACGCCGCGUGAGUGAUGAAGGUCUUCGGAUCGUAAAACUCUGUUAUUAGGGAAGAACAAAUGUGUAAGUACCUAUGCACGUCUUGACGGUACCUAAUCAGAAAGCCACGGCUAACUACGUG